rnacentral:siRNA from 1 species
UUAACCGCAACUUCUAUUA